rnacentral:tRNA from 1 species
UAGGCGGCGGCCUGCAGCUCGUAGAGCUCGGCGUACACGCCGCCGAGGGCCAUCAGGCUCCGGUGGUCGCCGUGUUCGAUGACGCGGCCGCCGGCC